UACGGAGGUGGCAAGCGUUGCUCGGAAUCACUUGGCGUAAAGGGCGCGUAGGCGGGGAGGUAAGUCGGGUGUGAAAUCCCUCGGCCCAACCGAGGAACUGCGCCCGAGACUGCUUCUCUUGAGUCCCGGAGAGGAAGGUGGAAUUCCCGGUGUAGCGGUGAAAUGUGUAGAGAUCGGGAGGAACACCCGUAGCGAAGGCGGCGCUCUGGGCCGGUACUGACGCUGAGGAGCGAAAGCGUGGGGAGCAAACAGG
rnacentral:rRNA from 1 species